CAGGCCCAGAGAUUCAUCACUUAGCUUGCGGCUGGUGUGGUCAGUACGGUCUUCCGAGCUCCAUACUAUGCAUAUGUCGUCGGCUUAUCUUGCAUGUGGGCGGGGGUCUGGGGUGAAGGGAUCUGGAGUCGUUGUCUCUUUGUGUCGCACAGCGAGCUCCGCCAUGGGCCCUGCUGUGGGGCCGCCGAUGGGCGCGCCCUUCCUUUGCGGAGGGCAUUUCCCUUGAAACAUGAAAUACGAGUUGUGGGUGAUAAGGUGGCAUAUGUCGCGGAGAGGCGUAGUGCAUUGGUCGGGGUUCGGAG
rnacentral:lncRNA from 1 species